rnacentral:rRNA from 1 species
AUGAGUCCAGCUUCAGUGCCAUGGAGCUCACUGGUAUGCGGUACCCUCGUCUUUGUUCUUCUAUGGCAGGCUAGCCGGCUGGUAGAUUUGCUGUCGUGGCGCCCGCGGCGGCUUGAGUGUGCCUUGCGUUCCCAGGGUCUCCGUGACAUGUCUUACCGCUUCCUCAUCGGAGAUCUCAUGGACUACAGGCGGCGGAACAAGGAGGCACGAUCGAGGUCAAUGCCUCUGCGCUGUCACAACAUAGCCCCGCUCUUCCCCCCGUUCCUCCACGACCUUGUCCGGGAGCACGGAAAGACGUGUGUAUCUUGGUUUAGUGUGUUCCCCAAGGUCACCAUCAGCGACCCUGACUUAGCCAAGGAAGUGUUGUCCAACAAGUUCGGCCACUUCGAGAAGCUCAAGUUUCCGGCUCUGUCUAGGUUGCUUGCUGGAGGAUUAGCGGCUUACAACAGCGAGAAAUGGGUCAAGCAUAGAAGGAUCCUUAACCCCGCAUUCCAUCUCGAGAAGCUCAAGCUCAUGAUGCCAGCCUUGUCUACAUGCUGCCAAGAGCUUGUCGAUAGAUGGGCGCGAUCCCUUGGUUCAGACGGUAGCUAUGAGUUGGAUGUCUUCCCGGAGCUCCAAAGACUCACUGGAGAUGUCAUUUCUCGCACCUCAUUUGGCAGUAACUACCUUGAGGUGCCAAGGUUUUCCAACUGCAAUCCUAAAAAGUUGAACUCAUUGGGCUAGCCAAAGAAGAUUGUGCUUCCCGGUUACUUGUCCUUGCCGACCAAAAACAAUAGAAGGAUGCAUCAAAUUAAUAAUGAAAUUGAAUCCAUUCUACAUGGUCUAAUUGUAAAAAGAAUGCAAGCUAUGCAAGAAGGAGAAAAUACCAAUGAUGACUUAUUGGGCUUGAUGCUUGAGUCAAACAUGAGGACCUCAGAUGACAAUGGCUGA